CACUCUGUGAAAUGUAUAUCUAUGGAUUGUCAUCUGCUAUAUGACAAUAGCUUAAAGCCUGCCUUGGUCCACGUUCCACUAGCAGCUGUCAAGAAAUAAACAUCCGCAUCCCAGGCCUUCUUCCACGGCUCACACCUUUGUGCUUUCUGGGUCACUAUAACAAAAUGCCACAGACCAAGUGGCUUACAAACAACAGAAAUGUACUGCUCACAGUUCUCAGGCUGCAAGUCUGAGACCAGGGUGUCAGCAUGGUGGGGAGAGGGUGCUCUUCCCGGUCACAGACGUCUUGUUGUAUCCUCUCAGGGUGGAAGGGGCUAGGGAGCUCUGCCGGUGUCCUUUAUAAGAGCCCUAAUCUCAUUCAUGAGGGCUUCACCCUCCUGACCUCAUCACCUCCCCAGAGCCAUCAGAAGGGAAUCCACAAGCUCCCACCACAUCUUCUCACCUCCCAGAAUUGGUGCCCUAGGCUAUGCCUUCCUCCUGUUACCAAAGAGCUUCAAAGAAGAGCCUCUUCACAUGACACCUGCUUUUUCUCUUGCCUUCUAAGGGACCUUUUCUCAGCAAUUCUCCCUCUUUUCUCUUGUAUUGAUUUUUUUUCUCUCCAUUGGAUCAUUCAAACACCAUAAAAACCUGCCAUAAUGUCCCAGUGUUAUAAAACAUAUCAUUGAUCCUGUGUCUUUCUUUAGUCACCCCCUCCCCAUUUUUCUAUCCUUUUCAACAAAGUUCCCUGGCAGAGCUGUCUCUGCCCCAUUGAUUAUGGUCAGACAAUGGCUAGAAACUGGCCACUGGGACAACUGCUCAGCCUCUCCUGGUUGCUGAAUUCAGUAGUGCAUGUCAGUCUUCCUCUUCUUUGGCCUGUUUGAUCAGCUACCCUUCCUUACAUGAUGUCCAGUUCUCUACACUUCUCCAGUUUUCCACAUACCUUAGAGGUUUUCCUUGUAAAAAGCUCGUUGCUGUUUUUGCUUGUCAGCCCAACUUCUUGCUGUUAGAAUGACCCAGAACCAGGCUUCAGCCCUUUGCAAACUUUUCCACCAUAAGCUCUCCUCAUCUCCACUCCAGGAACCCAAGCUCUUAUGCUGAAAAUUAAAAAGUCCAUAGGCUUUGUCGACCUUGGCCUGUGCUCUAGCUGCCCAGUGAGCCACUGGAAAAAUCAAUAUUUGAUGAAAAUUUGAAUAUAUUUACUCUUGUGGUUUUAAAUAAUAUCUGUAUGCUGAAAAUUUCCAAACUAAUCUCUCCUAUGCUAUGGACCUGUCUAUACAACUGCCUAAGUGAAGGCUCCACUUGAGUGCUUUACAGGCACUCAGAACUUUAUAGUUCCUUACCAGAACUGAAUGGACCACCUUUAAUUGGAUCAUCCUCCCAUCAUUACCACCUCAGGUGGUGACACCUCAUCCUUCAGCUGCUUAGGCUGAAAAAUACUGCAGUCUUCUUUGCUCCUGUCUUUCUUGCCCAAAGCCAAAUCAUCAGCAAAUCCUAACUAUCUCACGCCACCGUCACUGCUCCCUUCCUGGUCCGAGCCACCAUCCUCUCUCACCUGACUGAUGCAAAGGCCCCUCACUGGUCUGUCUGCCUCCCGCUUGUUCAUCUUCUCUCUCCCCAUCCCCCCCAGCAGUUUAUUUGCAGCACAUCAGAUCAUCUCUUGCCCUCCAGUGCCUCCCUGUUUCAUAAUGGCUUCUGAGGCUAUCCGUGAUCUGGUUCUCUAUAAUCCUUGACUUCCCUUGGGCAGAUGUUUCUGCUGUAACCGUCUGUGUGUGUCCUAUAAAACUUUGUGUUCUGUAAAAUGUACUCUUAAAAAAAAAAACAGGGCUUUUGGGAAAAGUAGGAUUAGAGCAGAUCUUUCCUAUUUCACACAACUUGAAAACCAUGCUAACCAGAGCCAUAAGGGAUAGUUCUGGGUCAGGGGAGCUGGGCAAGUGGGAGGGGGACAGUUUUGGGGGGGUGGUCAGAGCCUGGUGCAGGUGCUCAUCCUCUUAAAUGGACCUGAAAUCACUCCAGCCUGUGCUGAAGCCAAACUGAGGCCUUCCUCUUUCCCUGCCAAGAUUAGAAUUCUACCCCUGCUCUUCUGGCUCCUU
rnacentral:lncRNA from 1 species